UACGUAGGGUGCAAGCGUUAAUCGGAAUUACUGGGCGUAAAGCGUGCGCAGGCGGUUUUGUAAGUUUGUCGUGAAAGCCCCGGGCUCAACCUGGGAAUUGCGAUGAAGACUGCAAGGCUUGAAUCUGGCAGAGGGGGGUAGAAUUCCACGUUGUAGCAGUGAAAUGCGUAGAGAUGUGGAGGAACACCGAUGGCGAAGGCAGCCCCCUGGGUCAAGAUUGACGCUCAUGCACGAAAGCGUGGGGAGCAAACAGG
rnacentral:rRNA from 1 species